rnacentral:rRNA from 1 species
GACGAACGCUGGCGGCGUGCUUAACACAUGCAAGUCGAACGGAAAGGCCCUGCUUUUGUGGGGUGCUCGAGUGGCGAACGGGUGAGUAACCCGUGAGUAACCUGCCCUUGACUUUGGGAUAACUUCAGGAAACUGGGGCUAAUACCGGAUAGGAGCUCCUGCUGCAUGGUGGGGGUUGGAAAGUUUCGGCGGUUGGGGAUGGACUCGCGGCUUAUCAGCUUGUUGGUGGGGUAGUGGCUUACCAAGGCUUUGACGGGUAGCCGGCCUGAGAGGGUGACCGGCCACAUUGGGACGGAGAUACGGCCCAGACUCCUACGGGAGGCAGCAGUGGGGAAUAUUGCACAAGGGGCGGAAGCCUGAUGCAGCAACGCCGCGUGCGGGAUGACGGCCUUCGGGUUGUAAACCGCUUUCGCCUGUGACGAAGCGUGAGUGACGGUAAUGGGUAAAGAAGCACCGGCUAACUACGUG